UACGAAGGGGGCUAGCGUUGCUAGGAAUUACUGGGCGUAAAGGGCGCGUAGGCGGCACUGUUAGUCAGGCGUGAAAUUCCUGGGCUCAACCUGGGGACUGCGCUUGAUACGGCAGAGCUUGAGGAUGGAAGAGGGUCGCGGAAUUCCCAGUGUAGAGGUGAAAUUCGUAGAUAUCAAGCGGAACACCGGUGGCGAAGGCGGCCUUCUGGACAGUGACUGACGCUGAGACGCGAAAGCGUGGGGAGCAAACAGG
rnacentral:rRNA from 1 species